UACGGAGGAUCCGAGCGUUAUCCGGAUUUAUUGGGUUUAAAGGGUGCGCAGGCGGGAGAUUAAGUCGGCGGUGAAAUUUUGCAGCUCAACUGUAAAAGUGCCUUCGAAACUGGUUUCCUUGAGUGUAGAUGAAGUAGGCGGAAUUUGUGGUGUAGCGGUAAAAUGCAUAGAUAUCACGAGGAACUCCGAUUGCGCAGGCAGCUUACUAAACCAUAACUGACGCUCAGGCACGAAGGCGUGGGGAUCAAACAGGAUUAGAUACCCUGGUAGU
rnacentral:rRNA from 1 species